UACGUAGGUGGCAAGCGUUGUCCGGAUUUACUGGGCGUAAAGGGCUCGUAGGCGGCCAACUAAGUCAGACGUGAAAUCCCUCGGCUUAACCGGGGAACUGCGUCUGAUACUGGAUGGCUUGAGAUUGGGAGAGGGAUGCGGAAUUCCAGGUGUAGCGGUGAAAUGCGUAGAUAUCUGGAGGAACACCGGUGGCGAAGGCGGCAUCCUGGACCAACACUGACGCUGAGGAGCGAAAGCCAGGGGAGCAAACGGG
rnacentral:rRNA from 1 species